rnacentral:rRNA from 1 species
AGGAUGAACGCUGGCGGCGUGCUUAACACAUGCAAGUCGAGCGGAGCACAUCGUUGGAAUCCUUCGGGAGGAAGAAGGUGUGGCUUAGCGGCGGACGGGUGAGUAACGCGUGGACAACCUGCCCUAUGCAGGGGGAUAACAUCCGGAAACGGGUGCUAAUACCGCAUAAGCGCACAGUACCGCAUGGUACGGUGUGAAAAGCUGAGGCGGCAUAGGAUGGGUCCGCGUUGGAUUAGGCAGUUGGCGGGGUAACGGCCCACCAAACCGACGAUCCAUAGCCGGCCUGAGAGGGUGGACGGCCACAUUGGGACUGAGACACGGCCCAGACUCCUACGGGAGGCAGCAGUGGGGAAUAUUGCACAAUGGGGGGAACCCUGAUGCAGCGACGCCGCGUGGGUGAGGAAGUACUUCGGUAUGUAAAGCCCUAUCAGCAGGGAAGAAAAUGACGGUACCUGACUAAGAAGCCCCGGCUAACUACGUGCCAGCAGCCGCGGUAAUACGUAGGGGGCAAGCGU